CAUCUUCUGACCCUGGGCAGCAGAAACGGAUUAUCGACUCCCUUUCUUGAUCACUCCAGACAGCCAUUAACUACUACAAAACCAGCAGCUGCAGACAGGGCGGGAGGAAGAGCAGAUUAGGAGAAGGAUGAAACUGCAGUGAGGGGACGAGAGGAAGGAGAGAGGGAAAACAGCAGAAGAGUCAGUAAGGAGGUAAGGAGAGGUCUUUAUAGGGCGAGACUUUACCAACUGAGCUUUUCUAAAU